AAGUCGUAACAAGGUUUCCGUAGGUGAACCUGCGGAAGGAUCAUUAUUGAAUAAAUCUGACGUGGUUGCAGCUGACUCCCCGGAGUACGUGCUCGCCUAGUCACCUUUAUCUUUCCACCUGUGCACACACUGUAGUCCUGGAUACCUCUCGUCGAAAGGCGGAUGCAGGGUUUGCUGUGACUUCGCAAGAAGGCCGGCUCACUCUGAAUUUCCAGGUCUAUGAUCUUACACACCCCAAACUGAAUGUUACAGAAUGUUAUCAUCGGGCUUCGUGCCUAUAAAUUUAUACAACUUUCAGCAACGGAUCUCUUGGCUCUC
rnacentral:misc_RNA from 1 species